GACGAACGCUGGCGGCGUGCUUAACACAUGCAAGUCGAACGGAAAGGCCCUGCUUUUGUGGGGUGCUCGAGUGGCGAACGUGUGAGUAACACGUGAGUAACCUGCCCUUGACUUUGGGAUAACUUCAGGAAACUGGGGCUAAUACCGGAUAGGAGCUCCUGCUGCAUGGUGGGGGUUGGAAAGUUUCGGCGGUUGGGGAUGGACUCGCGGCUUAUCAGCUUGUUGGUGGGGUAGUGGCUUACCAAGGCUUUGACGGGUAGCCGGCCUGAGAGGGUGACCGGCCACAUUGGGACUGAGGUACGGCCCAGUCCACUACGGGGGGCAGCAGUGGGGAAUAUUGCACAAUGGGCUGAAGCCUGAUGCAGCAACGCCGCGUGCGGGAUGACUGCCUUCGGGUUGUAAACCGCUUUCGCCUGUGACGAAGCGUGAGUGACGGUAAUGGGUAAAGAAGCACCGGCUAACUACGUG
rnacentral:rRNA from 1 species